rnacentral:tRNA from 1 species
ACCUGGGUGGCUCAGUGGGUUGAGUGUCUGACUUUGGCUCAGGUCGAGAUCUCACGCUCUGUGAGUUCAAGCCCCACAUCGGGCU